CUUAGAUUUUGCUAGUUCUAGAGCGAACCAAAACUAAAAGAAACAAAACAACACAAAAGACAAACAUAAGUUAAUCUAAGACCAAUUCCGUUGGUGAGACGGAUGCAUUAAGCAUAUGCAUCAAGCCUUUAAACCUCUAGGCAUCCCUAGUAGGAGGAGUUGUGUCUCCUAAGGGUUUAACAGUGACGGUACCCAUAAACGUCCGAAACAACCAACUAAACAACGAUUAGAGAACUUUUGAAACAAGAUAAUAAGAAUCAAAGCUCAACUAUGCCUUACGGUCCUAACUUUGACUUUACCUUUCCAACAAUCAAAUCUGCAUGUUAGUGAGGUGCUCUAGCUCAAAUUCAACAUGUUACUAAGUGAUAGGGGCAUAUUUAUGCGCCUUAGUUAGCUAGUUCUUAUGCAUCUUUGUUAUGUUUUCUUCGUUAAAGUAGUCUUUUAAGCUACUUUCUUGUGUUUUCAGGUUUAGCGGAUGUAUUACAUGAAAGGAUGCAAUUUGGAGCUUUUGGAGCAAAAAGUGAGCUUGAAUUGAAAAGGACAUGCUUGGAACGCAAGGUUGGG
rnacentral:lncRNA from 1 species